GCCCACUUGAUGGAAUUGGUAGACAUAAGGCACUUAAAAUGCCUAGCUUAAUGCGUACCGGUUCGAGUCCGGUAGUGGGUACCA
rnacentral:tRNA from 5 species